rnacentral:lncRNA from 1 species
UGGCCUCCCAAAGUGCUGGGAUUACAGGCAUGAGCCACUGUGCCCAGCCCUCUUGAUAAUUUUUAUUCUUGUUUCUUCUUAUCUGUGGGACUCCAAUUAGAAUGGGGUUGAGAUUGUGGCAUUCAGUUUUAUACCAAUAUUUUACCCAAGUGUGUCAUGGCCUUUUUUAAUCAUUUUAAUAUCCCCAGAAAUGCUAGAAGUGUAAAGGAAUAACAGAGGUAAAUUUGCUGUCAUUUUAUGCCACAUCCUCUUUUCUUACUUUGCUUCUUGAUACAGAUUAUAGAGGUAAUUGUGAAGACAGUUGAACCUUAGAAGAUUGAGCUAAGAUUCUUUUUUUGGCAACCUGCAAGUAAUGUUUCAUUUUUCUAUUACGUGAUCUCUUUGCCCAUACAGUUGGCAGAUGUUUUUUCCCCCUUUUUCUACCUUAAACUUUUUUGUUUGGAGUACAGUCUAAACCAACAUCAGUUAGCCUUGAUUUUCUUUCUUUUUUGGACAAUUGUCUGGUUCAUUGACAAAAGUAACAAGUUUGGAACUAAGAGAUAUGUUACAAGCUGCACUUAACACCACCUGAAAACCCAAGAAUCAUCUGAAGGUUUUGUCAGUAGUAAGAUAAAGGAGUAAAGUGAUCUACAAACUGUAACUAUCUUGAAAGAGAAAUUGAUCAUCAGAUGGUCGAGUACUCUUGGAAUGUCUCUUUGCUGUUUACUGUGGCCUCUUUACAAUGGUGAGACUUAUUUCUACCCUCUACUUUCCACUAUUAUUUUUUUCCCCUAUUGGAUAAUACUAGUCUGAGCAGCCCUAAUACUAGAUGUACCUAAACAGAGAUACAAGCCAAGUCAUUGUUCAGUGUAGUCAUUUCUUAGUAUCUGUUUAUAUUUUGUCACACAUCAGAAUGUAUAUUUUAUAGAGCAUGUGUUUGUCUACUUGUUUGUCUACUAUAAUAUGUCUUUAAUAAAGCUAAAAACAUUCUGA